GGGCGUGCUUACACAUGCAAGUCAGGGGCCCAGCAAUGGGCAACCGGCGAACGGGUGCGUAACACGUGAGCAACCUACCGAACUGUGGGGGAUAGCCGGCCUAACGGCCGAGUAAUACCGAUACGCUUUCAGUGAGGCAUUUCAUUGAAAGGAAACCUACGGGACAGAUCGAGGGGCUCGCGGCUAUCAGCUAGUUGGUGAGGUAACGGUCACCAAGGCUAUGACGGGUAGCUGGUCUGAGAGGACGACCAGUCACACUGGAACUGAGACACGGUCCAGAAACCUAAGGGUGGCAGCAGUCCGAGAAUUUUUCUCAAUGGGGGCAACCCUGAAGGAGCGACGCCGCGUGGAGGAUGAAGGCUUUCGGGUUGUAAACUCCUGUCAUUUGGGAACAAGGUGCACACGUUAACUGCGUGGGUAUUGAUAGUACCAGAAGAGGAAGGGACGGCUAACUCUGUGCCAGCAGCCGCGGUAAUACAGAGGUCCCAAGCGUUGUUCGGAUUCAUUGGGCGUAAAGGGUGCGUAGGUGGCGCCGUAAGUCGGGUGUGAAAUUUCGGAGCUUAACUCCGAAACUGCAUUCGAUACUGCGGUGCUUGAGGACUGGAGAGGAGACUGGAAUUCAUGGUGUAGCAGUGAAAUGCGUAGAGAUCAUUCGAGGGAAGAACCAAGGUGGGCCGAAAGGGCCGGGGUCCUCCUGGGGACAGUCCCUUGAACACUGGAGGGCACGAAGGGCCAGGGGGGAGCAAACGGGGGAUUUAAGAAUACCCGGGUAAGUACUGGGCA
rnacentral:rRNA from 1 species